rnacentral:rRNA from 1 species
ACGAACGCUGGCGGCGUGCCUGACACAUGCAAGUCGGACGGUUCUUGUACCUUCAAGCUUGCUUGUUGGUGCAAGGAUAGUGGCGGACGGGUGAGUAACGCGUGAACAUCUACCCAUUGGAGGGGGACAACCCGUCGAAAGGCGGGCUAAUACCGCGUAAGCCGCGAGGUGAGAGGCUGCCUAUUGGUGGCCGCCGAUGGAUGGGUUCGCGUCCUAUCAGCUGGUUGGUGGGGUAACGGCCUACCAAGGCGAAGACGGGUAGCCGGUCUGAGAGGAUGGCCGGCCACACUGGAACUGAGACACGGUCCAGACUCCUACGGGAGGCAGCAGUGGGGAAUAUUGGACAAUGGAUGGAAAUCUGAUCCAGCCAUGCCGCGUGCAGGAAGACAGCCCUAUGGGUUGUAAACUGCUUUUAUAUGGGAGCAAUAAGGUCUACGUGUAGACUGAUGAGAGUACCAUAUGAAUAAGCAUCGGCUAACUCCGUG